UCCUGGAGAUCAAAGGAUACUACUGUCAAUGGGAAAGAGAACCAUGAUCAAGAGAUAAGUUGCAUCGUAGACACAAUGUUACUCUGUUCAAUAUUGAUGUCUUUUCUGUUCGCAUAGUGUUAACCUUAGUCGAAAUUUCUAGCUCAUGACAAAUAUUUAUUGUACCUUUAAAUGGUUAUUUAAGCAAGAAUAUAUGAGCUUACUGUCCUAGAAUGACCUACAUUCCAUCCACCUUGGUCAUCCAGAUUCAGCUCUGAUGAUGCUAAGGAGGUAGUCCAUUACCAAACAAUCUCAUCAAAGAGCUUAGCUAAAUCUGUUCUCGAGGAAGGUGGCUGGUCAAACUUCAUGUGCUCAAGGGAGGAUACUCAGAAUAAUGUUGAUGUUGCCAUUGUUUUUAUUGGCUCAAAGCUGCAAUCGUCAGACAUAUCUAAAGAUAAGCAAGUUGAUCCAGCUUUAGCA